AACAUGAUUGCUGUAUCAUAUGGUAAGAAUGUGUUUAGCUUUGUAAGAAACUGCCAAACUGUCUUUCAAACAGGCUGAACCAUUUAGCAUUUCCAUCAUUAAU
rnacentral:pre_miRNA from 1 species